AUUUGUGUAGCUGAGUCUGAGCAUAAUGAAAGUGGCAAUCCAACCUUCCUGUCCAAGGUUGCAUAUCUCAGUAUAAUUAUAUCUGCCACACAUGAAAUGACCAUGUUAUUAUUUUGACAUAAUGGGAGUUGUAGUCCACAAAUGUUUGGCAUGUUCUAACAUGAUGGGAGAUGUUGGGCAAAGGCUGCUUACUCCCUUUUUUCCUUAUUGC